AGAUGAGGUCUCACUGUGUUGUACAGGCUGGUCUCGAGCUCCUGGACUCAAACAAUCCUCCCGCCUUGGCCGUCCAAAAUUCUGGGAUUACAGGCCCUAUCAGACAUGGUCACUCUCUAAGAAGGUCUGAGCAUAGCUGAAGUGGAUCAUCUCAUUCAACUUUGGGUGACUGGUGAAUGCUGUCUGUCUGCCACUGCAUUCUUGAGCCUUCUGUCCCUGUGGUGGGGGUGGCUGUGGGGGUAGAGGCUGGCUCAGGCAUAGGGUAAGGGUACCCCGAGUGUCUGCCCAGAGACGUGGUGGUCUUCUGGUGGGCAUGCGGUGGUUUUUCCCUCCCUAGUCGUCCAAGGUUGGCUGGCAGAGAGGCUGGGGGUGCUAGGAGGGCCCCUGGGUAGGGACUGGGUCCAGGCUGCAGUGAGUCAGCCAUGGGGAGAGGCCUCGGGGAGGCUAGGUCUUAGGGGUGUGCAGCAUCCUUGGUCCAGGGAGGCAGCUGGCUCUGCCAUCAUGAGCCCCAACCCUCGGAGUUUAACUGACACAAUCAGCGAAGCCCUGGAGUGCCUGCCCCUGCCUCUGCGGAGGGAGUGACAGCCAGUGCCCACCCGUGCCCAGCCGCAGGCCCUCCCUCAUCAGGUCCCUUCCCAGAAUCCAGGCCCUGUUCAGAACCCCAGCACCCCUGCCUGCCCGCACCUCUGUGUACCCCUCCCACAUGAUGGGGUGAUAGGGCAUGGUGCCGUGCUGGAGGGGCUAGGAGGCCUCGAUGAUGGUGACGUCCAGGCAGAGACCCGAAUCGGGUGAGUCAGGUGUUGGGUGAACCUUGAGGCCAAAGACCCAGCACUGGAACCUGCUGGGCAUGCUGAGGACUAGAAGGAGGAUGGCGGGAGCGGUGGUGGCAGGAGGCGGCGAUGGAAGGGCUGGGGAGGCAGCGUAGGGCUGUGAAGACACGCCUCUGUGUUCCUGUGAGGGUGGUGGGACCAUUCCUACCCCCUCACGAGUCCUUCUCGGAACCAGACUCAGCCCCGCCACCAUCCUUCUAGGAUGGAAACCUCUGGUUCUCUGGAAGGUCCUUUGGGUCCUGUUGGUCACGGGAAUAGGUAACAGCAAACAAAACAUUUGCCCUCCUCCCCGCUCCCCAGUUCUGACAGAUGUCCACAUGGGCCAUGCGCACCAGAACCGGCCACACGCUGCACGCCCCUCCAGGCUUCCACUGGGCUGACCUGAGGCUCGUGCAUGGCCUUGCACCCCUGCCAGCCCCCAGCUCCAUCACUGUCAUAGUUGGGGUCUGUGCCUCUAGGCUGCUCCUGUGUGGCUGUCCAGCCCUGGAUCCUGGGGACACACGGCCAUCAGCUCACGGCCCUGGAGCCCAACCUUCAUCCUGUUGCCGCCGAGGCCGGCUUCUCACGCUGGGUGGGGGGCGGGCUGCCAGCUGUUUGCUGGGUUAGGACUGAACCCGCAGCGUGGCCUUCCCAGGCCAGCCUUAGUGGCCAGACUGUGUCUUUUCCAGUUUGGCUUUAGCCCUUAAAGACACUGAAGAGGUUUAAUUAUUUGCCUGCUAUUGUUGAAGGGAGUCUUUGUACUCUUUUGUUUUCUGUUUUUUGUUUGUUUGUUUGUCUGUUUUUUGCCCUGCCGGGAGCCCCUGUGCCUGAGUUACUUUUCUGCAGAUACUAUCCUGGCUUUUCUUGAGUGAAUACCCGUUUGGCUUUUUCCUGCCAUAUGUCAAGCCUCUGGAACAUCGUCAAUAUUUUUCCUCUCAUAAUGCAUAAAAAUAAAGUACAGGCUCUCACUGGACUAUUUUGCAAAUAAUUUUUAUCCUCUGAUAAAAUGACACAUUGGUGAGAGCAGGCGUUCCUUUAGGACAGCUAUUUUUAAAGAAUGAUGGAAUCGUCUUAAUCAUCUGUUAGUGGCGGGCACCUUUAUAAGUCAAAUGCUUCUAAGUUGUAUUUGCAUUAUUUGAUUAUUUCAGCAAUAACCACAGUACAAAAGAAGAAUGUGCCAGGGAGCACGACGCGGGCAACCACACAAAUCAGCCCCGCCAGGUGCUGGCUGAGUCCAUGUGUCCAGGCGGCUUUGCCCUUUCCUGUGGUCACCCCAUCCCCUGUCUGCUUGCUUCCCCACUCAGCCCCCACGUGAGCUCCCCAUCUUCUCUCCAGCUCCAAGUCGCCCACCUGCAACUUCUCCUAAGGAGCGGGGCCCGAAACCUAACAACUGGUCAAGAAGAAGAGCCAGACUCGGGCUGCGCCCCACAUGCUGCGUCCACGUUCACCCCAGGCCUGGGUCCUCUUCCCUGGGGGUCUUCGUGGUGGACAGUGGGCACCGUGUCUUCUCAGUGGAAGCACCUGGAAUGCUGCAUUACACAGGAAGAUCCGAGACACACGUGACCCACAUGGACGUGGCAGGGUUGGGUGCCCAUCCCUCCUGAGGGCAGUCAGAGAGGCGCCCAGCAUCACAGUGUGGGCAGGAGGGGUGGCCGGCGAGGGAUGUGGUGUGCAAUCUGGCGCCCCAGACUGGCCCACUGCAGGUGGUCCCAUGGCCUUGCCACGUCCGGGGAGCCGAGAGGUGGGGGUGGCAGCAGGCAUGGGAGACACCCCUCUCCCGGUACAGUGAUGCCCAGGAUGGUGGGUGCUCCCUCUGGCCCCAUCUCUGCAUCUCACUGGUGGGCUCUGGGCCCUGGGCCGGCAGGAUUGGGUCCAGGGCUACCUCUGUCCUGCCGGUGUCCCACCUGCACGGGGGGAAGAUUUGUCGAAAGAGAUCUCCCAGAAUGUGGGGUGAUGGCUAUUCUUAGAGGCACUGGGGGCACUUAGGGAAUCCCUACCCCCAAGUGUGAGCUGGGGUGUGGGCCCAGGGCACCCCAUCCAUGGGCUGGGCAGCUCGGCCAGCUCUGCUGACUCCAGGUGUGUCCAGGGGGCUCAGGCCGAGUGAUGGUCAGGGCCGAUCCAUAGGAUAAACGCACUGACAUGGGGUUUCUCAGUGCCCCUGAUGACACAGGACCAGGCAAAUCCCCUUCUCUCCGCUGUGGGACAUCAGGUAAUCGUGGUGCUGUGGGAGAGGGGCAUCUUCAUUCUGUAUGGCUGCUGUGACCAAGUCGCACACAGUGGGGUGCUUAAAACAACAAAAAUCGGCCGGGCGUGUUGGUUCACACCUGUAAUCCCAGCACUUCGGAAGGCUAAGGCGGGCGGAUCACGAGAUCAGGAGAUCAAGACCAUCCUGGCCAACAUGGUGAAACCCGUCUCUAUUAAGAGUACAAAAAUUAGUCGAGCUUGGUGAUGCACUCCUGUAAUCCCACCUGCUCGGGAGGCUGAGGCAGGAGAAUUGCUUGAACCCGGGAGGCGGAGGUUGCAGUGAGCCGAGAUCACGCCACUGCACUCCAGCCUGGUGACAGAGCGAGACUCUGUCUCAAAAAAAAAAAAAAAAAAAGAAAAGAAAAAAAAAAAUCCCUUCUUUCAAAGUUCUGGAGACCAGAAGUCUGAGGUCGUGGUGUGGGCAGCACUGGUUUCUUUUGGGGGCUCUGAGGGAGGGUCGCUCCUUGCCUUCUCCAGCUCCCGGUGUUGCCGGCUGUCCUUGGGGUUUCUUACAGGCCCGUCACACCGAUCUCCGCCCCAUCUUCACAUGGCAUUCUCCUCUGUGUGCCUUUCACCUUCUCUAAGGCCACCUGUCACUGGGUUUAGGGCCCACCCAGAGAGUCCAGGAUGGUCUCAGGUUGAGAUUCUUACCUCUCUUUCAUCUGCAACAACCGUUUUUCCAAAAACAGUCAUAUUCACACAUUCCAGACAUGCUUCAAGGGGACCACCAUUUGACCCACUGUGGGUGGGUAGGAACCAUGUCUGAGGUCCCAGAGUAGGCUCUGGGGGCACCUUUUCCUUACUCAAGGGCCUCUCUUUAUGGCAAAUUAGGUCCUAAUCACAACAAAGGUGCCACAUUGCCCAGUCCACACUUGCCCAUGGCUUUGGUGGGGUCCUGUGGCUGUGGCAGGGGGGACCCUUGUCUCACCAGAUGGAACAGCCUGGCCUAGAUUGCUCUGAUGUGAGAAAGCAGAUCUGGUCAGUCCACAGAGUGCGGCGUUCCACACCCUUGACUCACAGAUGUCACCAGGAGGAAGGAUGGCAGGGAUGCCCCUCUAAGCACCACCUGCCCUUAGUGUAUGGUCUCCAGAGAAGAUGUGCAGGUGGUCAGCCAGCAAUGAAGGGUGCCCAGUGUCAUCAGCCAUUGGGAAAAUGAGAGUCAAAACCACAGUGAGCGGCCACUUCACAGCCACCAGGGUGGUUAGAACUCAAAAGUCAGAUAAUAACAAGUGUUGGCGAAGACAUAGGGAAAUCAGAGCCCUGCCACACCAACUGCUGCUCUAUGAUUGUUGAAUGGUGCAGCCUCUUUGGAAAGUAGCCUGGCAGUUGCUCAAAAAGUUAAACACAGAAGUGCCAUAUGGCCCAAGAAUUUCACUUCUAGAUAUAUACCCAGAGAGCUGAAAACAUAUGUCCCCACAAAAACUUGCUUAUAGCAGCACUAUUCAUAGUAGCCAAAAGGUGGGAGCAGUGCAAGUGUUCAUCGACAGAUGCCUGGAUAAACAAAAUGUGGUCUGUCCAUCCACACAGUGGCACACAGGAAGCACCGAUUUAUGCUGUAAUGUGGAUGAACCUUGAAAACACUGCUCUGUGACAGUAACAGACACAAAAUGCCCCAUUUCGUAUGAUUCUAUGCACAGGAAAUGUCCAGACAUGCAAAUCCAGAGAUAAAGUCGAUGAAGGGGUAGGGGGAUGACUGCUAACAGGUGUGGUUUCUUCCGGAGGUGAUGAAAAUGUUCUGGAACUAGAUCAUGUGAUGGUUGCACAGCUCUGAGAAUACCCUAAAACUGCUGAAUCGCAUACUGUAGAGGCAGGGUCUCACGCUGUCACCCAGGCUGGAGUGCAGUGGUAUGAUCUCAGCUCACUCUAACUUCCACCUCCCGGGCUCAAGCGAUCUUCCCGCUUCAGCCUCCUGAGUAGCUGAGACUACAGGUGCAGACCACCACACCUGGCUAAUCUUUUGUGUGUAGAUACAGUGUUUUUUUUUUUUUUUUUUUGUAGAGAUGUGUUGCUUUGUUGCCCAGGCUGGCCUUGAACUCCUGGCCUCAAGUGCUCCUCCCACCUCAGCCUCCCAAAGCACCAAAGUGCCAUCGUGCCUGGCCUUUGAAUUGCACAUUUUGGUAGAAUUUUAUGGCAUGUGAGUCCCAUCUCAAUAAAACAGUUUCAGAAAGCAA